ACCAGAGGAAUCAGCAUCGGCUAACUCCGUGCCAGCAGCCGCGGUAAGACGGAGGAUGCAAGCGUUAUCCGGAAUGAUUGGGCGUAAAGCGAGUGUAGGUGGCUCAUUAAGUCACAUGUGAAAUCCCCGGGCUUAACCUGGGAACUGCAUGUGAUACUGGUGGUGCUAGAAUAUGUGAGAGGGAAGUAGAAUUCCAGGUGUAGCGGUGAAAUGCGUAGAGAUCUGGAGGAAUACCGAUGGCGGUCGACGCGGCCG
rnacentral:rRNA from 1 species